rnacentral:misc_RNA from 1 species
CCGAGUUAUACAACUCAUCAACCCUGUGAACAUACCUAAAACGUUGCUUCGGCGGGAACAGACGGCCUUGUAACAACGGGCCGCCCCCGCCAGAGGACCCCUAACUCUGUUUUUAUAAUGUUUUUCUGAGUAAAUAAGCAAAUAAAUUA